AGUGAACGCUGGCGGCGUGCUUAACACAUGCAAGUCGAACGAGAACGGAUUAUAGCUUGCUAUAAUUGUCAGCUAAGUGGCGCACGGGUGAGUAAUGUAUAGGUAAUAUGCCUCUUACUAAGGGAUAACAAAUGGAAACGUUUGCUAAUACCUUAUACUCCUUAUUACAGAAGUUAAUAAGGGAAAGAUUUAUUGGUAAGAGAUUAGCCUGUAUUGUAUCAGUUAGUUGGUGGGGUAAUGGCUUACCAAGACUAUGACACAUAACUGGUUUGAGAGGAUGAUCAGUCACACUGGAACUGAGACACGGUCCAGACUCCUACGGGAGGCAGCAGUGGGGAAUAUUGCACAAUGGACGAAAGUCUGAUGCAGCAACGCCGCGUGGAGGAUGACACAUUUCGGUGCGUAAACUCCUUUUAUAAGAGAAGAUAAUGACGGUAUUAUAUGAAUAAGCACCGGCUAACUCCGUGCCAGCCGCCGCCGUAAGAC
rnacentral:rRNA from 1 species